rnacentral:rRNA from 1 species
GCAUAUCAAUAAGCGGAGGAAAAGAAACCAACCGGGAUUGCCUUAGUAACGGCGAGUGAAGCGGCAAAAGCUCAAAUUUGAAAUCUGGUACCUUCGGUGCCCGAGUUGUAAUUUGGAGAGGGCAACUUUGGGGCCGUUCCUUGUCUAUGUUCCUUGGAACAGGACGUCAUAGAGGGUGAGAAUCCCGUGUGGCGAGGAGUGCGGUUCUUUGUAAAGUGCCUUCGAAGAGUCGAGUUGUUUGGGAAUGCAGCUCUAAGUGGGUGGUAAAUUCCAUCCAAAGCUAAAUAUUGGCGAGAGACCGAUAGCGAACAAGUACAGUGAUGGAAAGAUGAAAAGAACUUUGAAAAGAGAGUGAAAAAGUACGUGAAAUUGUUGAAAGGGAAGGGCAUUUGAUCAGACAUGGUGUUUUGUGCCCUCUGCUCCUUGUGGGUAGGGGAAUCUCGCAUUUCACUGGGCCAGCAUCAGUUUUGGUGGCAGGAUAAAUCCAUAGGAAUGUAGCUUGCCUCGGUAAGUAUUAUAGCCUGUGGGAAUACUGCCAGCUGGGACUGAGGACUGCGACGUAAGUCAAGGAUGCUGGCAUAAUGGUUAUAUGCCGCCCGUCUUGAAACACGGACC